GACGAACCGUGCGAACGUUGUUCGGAAUUACUGGGCGUAAAGGGCUCGUAGGCGGCCAACUAAGUCAGACGUGAAAUCCCUCGGCUUAACCGGGGAACUGCGUCUGAUACUGGAUGGCUUGAAUCCGGGAGAGGGAUGCGGAAUUCCAGGUGUAGCGGUGAAAUGCGUAGAUAUCUGGAGGAACACCGGUGGCGAAGGCGGCGUUCUGAACUGCAACUGACACUGAAAAACGAAAGCCAGGGGAGCAAACGGG
rnacentral:rRNA from 1 species